GUAUUUUAUUGACUUUUUCUCAUUUCUGUAGAUUUCGGAAUCUAAGAUAAUUUUACACAUUCAUGGAUAAUUAAUUAUUUUAUUAACUAAACGUUUUGAGUGAAAUAGUUGCCUAUCCAUCGUAUAAUGUGAGAAUAAUCUGUGUAAUAAAUGCAGAUUGUGUGAGGUUAGUGAUUGCUAAAUGAGCCAGUUUCUGGUUGCCAAUGACCUUUACUUUGGUACUCCUCUGCACGUGGCAUGUGCCAGCCAGCACAUGGAGUGUGUUUAAGUACUACUGAAUGCAGGUGAAACCAGAUGCCGUGAGAUUGUAAAGUACUCUGUCAGGCAUGCAAACACUGAAGAAUGUGUCUCUAAAGCAGGUAGUUUAGAUCUGGAAUCACCAAAGUGAAGUUGUAAUCGUGAAUCAUUGUGUGCAGGUGUGCAAGUAAACGCCACCAGCCUACACAAGAUGCCCUUACAUCAUGCUGCAAAGUCCAACAAUGUGAUAUGAUUGAGCUUUAAGCUGUUGGUGGAGUUUGGGGCCAACAUUUAUGCCCGUGACAAAUAUGACAGGAAGCCAGUUGACUACACAAAGUCUGAUACGCCCUCAGCGCAGUCUUCAACUUUAUGACAGUAACCCUCUUUCUCUGGAGCAGGAAAGCCGUACCACCCUGAGGACGAUGUUGGGCACCAGAGCUGUGGACGUGGUGACCCACCUGGAUAUUCCUAACCAUAUUAUCAGUUAUCUCUUACACCAGUGAACUCUUUCCUUAGAGGUCCACAGAUAGUGUGGAAACACCUUAAGCAUUGAAAUAUCUCCAACAAAUAUCAGUUUUGUUGACACUUUAGAGAUUUAUAGAUGCACUAUGUAUUUUUUUGUGUGUUAUAAAUGUAUCCAAAUUA